UACGUAGGUGGCAAGCGUUGUCCGGAAUUAUUGGGCGUAAAGCGCGCGCAGGCGGUCCUUUAAGUCUGAUGUGAAAGCCCACGGCUCAACCGUGGAGGGUCAUUGGAAACUGGGGGACUUGAGUGCAGGAGAGAAGAGUGGAAUUCCACGUGUAGCGGUGAAAUGCGUAGAGAUGUGGAGGAACACCAGUGGCGAAGGCGACUCUUUGGGACGGUACUGACGCUGAGACGCGAAAGCGUGGGGAGCGAACAGG
rnacentral:rRNA from 1 species